rnacentral:rRNA from 1 species
AACGAACGCUGGCGGCAUGCCUAACACAUGCAAGUCGAACGUGAUCCGGGGCUUGCUCCGGUGAAAGUGGCGGACGGGUGAGUAACGCGUGGGAACCUGCCCAGUGGUCGGGGAUAACUGCGGGAAACUGCAGCUAAUACCCGGUAAGCCCUCGAGCGUUGGCUUGGGGGGAAAGAUUGAUCGCCAUUGGAGGGGCCCGCGUCGGAUUAGGUAGUUGGUGGGGUAACGGGCCUACCAAGCCUACGAUCCGUAGCUGGUCUGAGAGGAUGAUCAGCCACACUGGGACUGAGAUACGGCCCAGACUCCUACGGGAGGCAGCAGUGGGGAAGUAUUGGACAAUGGGCGCAAGCCUGAUCCAGC